AUGCCGCCGCCGCCGCCGUCCUCCUCCUCCCUCCGCGACCUGCUCGCGCGGGAGCGCUCCGAGCUCGCCGAGCCCGCCGCGCCGUGCCGCGCGGUGUCGAGCAGGCAAGCGCCGGGGUCGCCGCCGCCUCCCCGCGGCGCCGACAACGCGGUGGGCACGGUGGUGUCGAUGCUGUCCGGGUACGCGGGGCGGUUCUCCAAGGACGCGGCGUUCCGGCGGGCGCUCCGGGAGAAGUGCGCCGCGUGCCUCGCGCCCGCGGCGGCGGGGGAGCACGCCGUGCUGCUGGCCGACCUCGAGCUGGCCAUCGAGAGCAUCGAGUGCCUCGCCGACGCCGCCCCGUCCCCGCGGGACUCCAAGAUCCGCUCGCUGCGGAACUCCAUCCGCCUCCUCGGCGUCGUCGCCGCGCUCCACGCGCCGCCGCACCCCGCCGCCUCCGGCGACUGCGAGGGCGACGUCCGCGGGGUGCCCAGCUCCCACCUCUCCGCGUGCGCGCAGCUCUACCUCGCCGUCGUGUACAAGAUGGAGAGCGACCCCCACCUCGCGGCGCGCCACCUCCUCCAGGUGUUCGUCGACGCGCCCCACGUGGCCCGCACAACCCUCCUCCCGGACCUCUGGGCCCACGUCUUCCUCCCCCACCUGCUCCAUCUCGAGGUCUGGCUCGCCAAUGAGUCCGAGCUCGUCGCCGGCUGCGGCGACGCCGACGGCCGGAGCAGCAGCAGGACGAAGACCCUGCAGAGGCUGUACGACGACCAAAUGGACAGCGGCACAGCUCAGUUCGCAAUGUACUACAAGGACUGGCUCAAACACGGCGGCGAUGCGCCGCCCGCCGUCCCCUCCGUGCCAUUGCCUUCGACGCCCUGGAGCUUCGACAAGUGGGAGAAGCACUCCUCGUCGCUGCGCACGAGCUCCAUCAACAGAAAUCUGUACAAUGCCGUUUUCGGCACGUCGUUUGAGCAGGAGGACACCAAACUGCCGAAUGAGGCUGAAUAUGUCCUGGAUAUGGAGGUGCAAUUGGAUGAAAAUCCAGGUAGCUUGAAGAUGGAGAAGCUUGCUCAUAGAAACAUUGGGCUACAAGAGAAGCAAUCCGGCAUUCGGAAAGAAAGCACUGUUCCGGAAACAGCACCAACUCCACGCAAAUCCUACUCGUUGCGAUUACUCUCAUGCCGCGGAGAUGUAAGCAGGAAUGUUACUAAUCACCCUAAGGUAACAAAGAGAGGCAAUGUCUCUGUCGAGAAAGAGCUAGAUUGCUGCGAGGUAACAGUGAGUCUACAACGAGCAGUUUCCAUCAUAUCGAAUUCAGACAGUCUUACACAGUGCGAGUAUGCCGUGCACGAAAUCGCCACAGCAUGUUCAAAUCUAGGAGGGGGUCCUAAUCUUGGAACUUGGAUGUCAUGUCCCUCUUUUAUUCAAGGGCUUCUCGAGGUUACAUUCACUUCCAAAGAUGAUGCAGUACUUGAGUCAGCAAUCUUGAUAAUGGGAGAGCUGGUUUUGAGAAAUGAGGUCAAUAGGCAGAUCGUGCUUAACGCAGAUCCACAGCUUGAGGUUUUCUUGAGGCUUCUGGCUCUGAGAAGCAACGGGUUGUUUCUGAAGGCAACUGCAGUGCUUUAUUUGAUGAAGCCAAGAGCUAAGCAGAUGCUAUCCAUGGACUGGAUGCCACUAGUAUUGCACAUAUUGGAGUGUGGGGAUGAGGUGCAGCUUGUGUCUUCCCUGAAGUGUUAUCCAAAGAUGGCUGCAUUCUACUUUCUAGAUCAGCUGCUUACAGGGUUUGACAUCGACAGAAAUGUCGAGAACGCAAAGCAGAUGAUUGCUCUCGGUGGUUUGGACCUGCUGAUGAGCAGACUUGAAGUUGGUGAUGCCCGCGAAAGCAGAAUCUGCAUCUCUCUCUUGACCUCAUGCGUCCAAGCCGAUGGCAGCUGUAGAUUCUACUUGUCUGAUCAUCUGAAGAAGGAGCCUCUUGUUCAACUUCUUGUAGGAAAUCAGAAGAAGGCCAGUGCUGCUGCCCUUAACUUGAUGAGUGAACUAACCUGCCUUAACAGAACAAGCCAGACGGUAGAGUUCCUCAAGGAGCUGAAAAGUGGUGGCUGCUUAAAUACAAUGCAAGUUCUAUUGGUGUAUCUCCAGCAGGCUCCUCCUGUCCAACAUCCAUUAGCAGCUGUCAUGCUACUUCAGCUUGAUCUCCUGGGAGAUCCUUUGCAGUACAGCGUUUACCGAGAGGAAGCGGUUGAUGCUAUCAUGGCUGCCUUGGAGCAUAGUUCAGAGAGCGCAAAGGUGCAAGAACAGUGCGCUCGAGCUCUGUUGCUCCUGGCAGGGCGGUUUUCAUCCUCGGGAGAACCCAUAGCAGAAGCAUGGCUACUGAAGAGAGCAGGCGUAGAUGGCUCCCUGUCGGAAUCAUUUAGAAGAACAGAGAUUUUCAAAAAUAAGGGUGCACGAGCGGAAGAAGAGAAGGUGGUUGAAGAGCGGCUGAAGAAACUUGCCCUCGUGCUGGUAAAAACCGGGAACAAGCGGUUCCUCGCGGCGCUGUCAAACUGUAUAUCUGAUGGAAUCCCAGCUUUGGUCCGAGCUUGCCUCGUGACGGUAGCGUGGAUGAGCAGCUCCCUCUCCCCAUUACAUGGGUGCAACACUUUCCAGCCUUUGGCAUGCUCCGUUCUCGCUGCUAAGCUUCUAGAUAGGUUGAGCUAUGACAGAGUUAUGGAAGAGAGAGUGCUCGCUUCGCUAUCGCUGCUGAACCUUGUGAGACAUCCAGAAUGCUUGGAGGGGCUUUUGCCACUGAAGAGGGACACAACGGAGUCGUUGCGUGACCUGGCAGAUGUGACGUGGACCGCCAAGGAGCUCCUCUUCGCGUGCUGCAGAUGA
rnacentral:rRNA from 1 species